rnacentral:rRNA from 1 species
AUUGAACGCUGGCGGCAUGCUUUACACAUGCAAGUCGAACGGUAACAGGCCGCAAGGUGCUGACGAGUGGCGAACGGGUGAGUAAUGCAUCGGAACGUGCCCAGUCGUGGGGGAUAACGCAGCGAAAGCUGCGCUAAUACCGCAUACGAUCUAUGGAUGAAAGCGGGGGACCGAAAGGCCUCGCGCGAUUGGAGCGGCCGAUGUCAGAUUAGGUAGUUGGUGGGGUAAAGGCUCACCAAGCCAACGAUCGGUAGCUGGUCUGAGAGGACGACCAGCCACACUGGGACUGAGACACGGCCCAGACUCCUACGGGAGGCAGCAGUGGGGAAUUUUGGACAAUGGGCGCAAGCCUGAACCAGCAAUGCCGCGUGCAGGAAGAAGGCCUUCGGGUUGUAAACUGCUUUUGUACGGAACGAAACGGUCCGGGUUAAUACCCUGGGCUAAUGACGGUACCGUAAGAAUAAACACCGGCUGACUACGUGCCAGCCGCCGCAGUAAUAC